GAAUCUUGCGCAAUGGGCGAAAGCCUGACGCAGCGACGCCGCGUGAGGGAUGACGGCCUUCGGGUUGUAAACCUCUGUCGGGAGGGACGAAGCCCUGACGGUACCUCCAAAGGAAGCACCGGUUAACUCUGUGCCAGCGGCCGCGGUAAUCAAGAGGGUGCGAGCGUUGUCCGGAAUCACUGGGCGUAAAGGGCGCGUAGGCGGCUGGGUAAGUCGGGGGUGAAACGCUGCGGCUCAACCGCAGCCCUGCCUCCGAGACUGUCUGGCUUGAGCACGGUAGAGGCUGGUGGAAUUCCCGGUGUAGCGGUGGAAUGCGUAGAGAUCGGGAAGAACAUCGGUGGCGAAGGCGGCCAGCUGGGCUGUUGCUGACGCUGAGGCGCGACAGCGUGGGGAGCAAACAGG
rnacentral:rRNA from 1 species